AGCUCCAAUAGCGUAUAUUAAAGUUGUUGCGGUAAAAAAGCCCGUAGUUGGAUUUCUGUUGAGAGCAGCCGGUCCGCUCUACGAGCGUGUAUCUGGUUUGGUCUCGGCAUCCUCUCGCGUAACGUUUCUGCGCUUCAUUGCGUGGUGCGCUUAAGCGGGACUUUUACUUUGAGGAAAUUAGAGUGUUCACGGCAGGCAAGCGCCCUGAAUAUGUUAGCAUGGAAUAAUAAGAUAGGACCUGAGUCCCAUUUUGUUGGUUUCUGGAGCUUAGGUAAUGGUUAAUAGGAACAUUUGGGGACAUUUGUAUCGGCGCGUCAGAGGUGGAAUUCUUGGAUUGCGUCGCGACAAACUACUGCGAAAGCAUUUGUCAAGGAUGUUUUCA
rnacentral:rRNA from 1 species